ACUGUCAAGCUGUAAAUAACGUAGUAUAGGCUGGCUGACUACCUGAAUUAUCAAGGUUUAAAGUUACAAUCAACAAGUAGGACAGAUACAAGAGUAAAUAAAAAGUUCCUGAACGCCAGUCGUACCCUGAACCACCUUUUUGAAAGGGUUGAACCAGAAGGAGGAGGAGCUUAGAAAAGCACGUGAGCUUCCACUGUUUCCCGCCACUUGGAAUCAGACGAACGCACCUGCCAUUUUUGAAUUCCAAAUUGUUGAUCUACGAUUUCCAAAAUAUCUCAUGUAUAUUUAGGGUAAAAUUAAACGAUUCGAUUAUUAAUACCACGAAAUUAAUC